ACGUAUUUAGCUCAGUUGGUUAGAGCAAACGGUUCAUAACUUUUCAGUCAUUGGUUCGAGUCCAAAAAGAUCUACCG
rnacentral:tRNA from 1 species